rnacentral:rRNA from 1 species
AGUGAACGCUGGCGGUAGGCCUAACACAUGCAAGUCGAACGGCCGCACAGUAAGAGCUUGCUCUUACGGGUGGCGAGUGGCGGACGGGUGAGGAAUACAUCGGAAUCUACUUUUUCGUGGGGGAUAACGUAGGGAAACUUACGCUAAUACCGCAUACGACCUACGGGUGAAAGCAGGGGAUCUUCGGACCUUGCGCGAUUGUAUGAGCCGAUGUCGGAUUAGCUAGUUGGCGGGGUAAAGGCCCACCAAGGCGACGAUCCGUAGCUGGUCUGAGAGGAUGAUCAGCCACACUGGAACUGAGACACGGUCCAGACUCCUACGGGAGGCAGCAGUGGGGAAUAUUGGACAAUGGGCGCAAGCCUGAUCCAGCCAUACCGCGUGGGUGAAGAAGGCCUUCGGGUUGUAAAGCCCUUUUGUUGGGAAAGAAAAGCAGCAGGUUAAUACCCCGCUGUUCUGACGGUACCCAAAGAAUAAGCACCGGCUAACUUCGUG